rnacentral:rRNA from 1 species
UACCCGCAGCACAAGUGGUGGUCAUUAUUAUUGGGCCUAAAGCGUACGUAGCUGGCUUGUUAGAUGCCUGGGUAAAUCGAUGCGCUCAACGUAUCGACUUCCGGGUAGACCGGCAAGCUCGAGACCGGGAGAGGUGUAGGCUACUCGAGGGGUAGGGGUAAAAUCCUGUAAUCCUUCGGGGAGGACCAGUGGCGAAGGCGCUACACUAGAACGGCUCUGACAGUGAGGGACGAAGCCCUGGGGCGCAAACCGG